AUGAAUUUAGUGUAGCGAGAUGGCUGGGUAGAGAGCGUAGUGCUUUGUCAUCUUGGAAUUGAAGAUGUCAGACAGUGACACUAGGUUCUACUCUGUAUCAGUUGGAAAUUGAGUAUUCCUUUAGUUUGUCAUUACCUUCCAGAAGAGACAGAGAACCUCACAUAACUUCAAUGGCUUUCAAUUCAGAGUUCAGCAUCACUGCCCAAACGGAUGCGACGCCCCACCGUUUUAAGCCAGUUCGAAAUUGGAUACUAUUCCUUUAUACAGAAAAGCAAAAACAAAGAGGGCAGAUUUUUUGGGUCCCGUGUGAGAAAUGAAGUUCCCUUGAACGGGGUGCAUGAGGAGAAUUGAAGUUCACUUGAACCGUAUUCAUGAGCAUAAAUAAAAUACUGAAACGGACAUGACCAAGUGUUCUUUAAGCGCUUAGAUGGCGUUACGGCUUCUGAAGAACUAGGAAAAGAAUAAUAGUUACUUCCAUACAUAUGCAGUGAAGAGAAGAAGAAACAGAUGGAGUGAAGAAAGCCAAUAGCCAUCAUUCAAAUGGACGUUGUAAAAGUACUGGCAAAUUGCAAGAGUGCCGGAAGAGUGUGGUUCGAAGUGUGCUCAAGUCUUGUGGGACACUUCAGCAGUUGAGAGAGCUUUCAGUAUCCCAAGUGUGGUAUCUUGUGCUGCAGUGUCGAGCAACGUUCCUCCCUUCUGAUUUCAUGUUUUUUUAUUUAUUUUUUGUUUUAUUUUGUUUCCUAUUCCAAACCAGAUUGUACCCUCAAGUCUUAUAAACUAUAAAUAACACUUUGGUCAUACAAGUGACUCAGGUGUACAUGUGAUGAAUUUAGGUAAUUGUAACUCUCAAAUUUCCUUAUGGCUUUCAAA